rnacentral:rRNA from 1 species
AGGCAUGUGCACGCCCUGCUCAUCCACUCUACACCUGUGCACUUACUGUAGGUUUGGCGUGGGCUUCGAGGGCCUUCACGGGCUUUUGAGGCAUUCUGCCUGCCUAUGUAUCACUACAAACACUAUAAAGUAACAGAAUGUAAUCGCGUCUAACGCAUCUUAAUACAACUUUCAGCAACGGAUCUCUUGGCUCUCGCAUCGAUGAAGAACGCAGCGAAAUGCGAUAAGUAAUGUGAAUUGCAGAAUUCAGUGAAUCAUCGAAUCUUUGAACGCACCUUGCGCUCCUUGGUAUUCCGAGGAGCAUGCCUGUUUGAGUGUCAUGGUAUUCUCAACCCACACAUCCUUGUGAUGCUUGUGAGGCUUGGACUUGGAGGCUUGCUGGCCCGUUGCGGUCGGCUCCUCUUGAAUGCAUUAGCUUGGUUCCUUGCGGAUCGGCUCUCAGUGUGAUAAUUGUCUACGCUGUGACCGUGAAGCGUUUGGCGAGCUUCUAACCGUCCUGCUAGGGACAACUUACUUGACAUCUGACCUCAAAUCAGGUAG